AACAUCGUAAGCAGAAGUUUAUCUACAAGUGCUUCCGGUGCUACCAGCAAGGACAUAAGGCGUCCUAAUGCAAGGAGCGAGCCAAGACCGCGAAUGUCUGCCUGAACAUUAAGGAGGCGAUUGACAAAGAUAAGUAGUAUCUUGACAGUGGAUGCUCUAACCAUCUUACCCACGACAAGAGUAAGUUGUUGUCUUAUAAACCUGAAAGAGGCAGCAUGAAAAUAUCAGUAGCAAGCGGUGAGAAGUUAUCAGUAAAAGGACGAGGGAACGCUGAGCCCCAAGUCAGCGAGAACGAAAAAUUAAACUUGGAAAAUGUUAUGCAUGUUCCCGAUUUGUCCAUGAAUUUUAUUUCGGUAAGCGACUUAACCAAGAAGGAAUGUACGAAUGUAUGCAUUAUAUUUGACAAAAAAGGUUGCGUAAUUCAAAAGAAGAACCGAAUUAUUGCAAGUUGUCAAGAAGUCGAUGGCAUUUACGAGUUGACAGAAAAGAAAAACAAUGUUGUAAAUUUGACACUGUCAAAACAAAAUGAAAACAUUUCUAGCAUUUGGCAUAAGCGUUUAUCUCAUUUAUCCCGAAAUUAUAUGUUGAAAAUGAAAAACAUCGUGACCGGUAUGGAAUUUAAGAGCACAGAUUUGUGCGAACCGUGUAUUCCCUGUAUUGAAGUCCCUUUAAAGUCCUGUCCCUUUAAAAACAAAGGUACGAGAGCCACGGAUGUUCUGCGGAUUUAUGCGGACCCGUGGAAGAGCCGUCGUUCGGAGGUUCGAGUCUGCAGGAUUAAAACACCAGACGACUGUACCCUACACGCCUGAGCAGAAUUCUGUUGCCGAGAGAGCCAAUCGUACGAUCAUCGAAAAAGCAAGAACACUACUGUCAGAAUCGAACCUGAGCAAAAAAUAUUGGGCGGAGGCUGUUAAUA